GUGGCAGGCUCAUGGACGCACCAGCUAUGGCCCAGGAAACUGCAUCCUCGUCGCCCACCGAGGUACGCCACACGACGUCUCUAAAUCAUACAGAGUGGAGCGCUCUCUUGCGCCUACUGGCAGAGGUGCAAGGGCGAAUGGAGCAACGCCUGGAGGCUGUCAAUGUCGAACUAGAGUACCUGGAGGCCUUUCGCGGCGGCAUUGUAUCGGAGAUGCGCAGUGAAUCGUCCCCUCGUCGCCGCUCUGUCACUCUUCCCGCCCCCAGAGAUGGCGGAAAGAGGAGCCGCGAAGAGGUCCCGUUUGUCGGCUACGCGAUAGCGUCUCCGAGGCAGCGGGGCGAGGUGGGAGCACUGGGCUUUGACCCGUUUCGCGAAGCGGGCCUCUACAUGAGCUCUAACAAUCCCGUAGUGCGUGUUGCACCGUUGUCUCUCAGCAGAGACGAAAAAGCGCGUCAGGAGGUGGCGUAUAUAUUGCCAAGCUACAUCUCCGUUGGGGUGGCGAGGGCAAGGGGCUUGCCUUUAGCCGGAGCCGCGCGACUUUUCGAGUCGCUCACCGCGGCCGGGCUGGACAAGCGCGACUUUGCUCUCUCGAGCACCUCAGCGGGACGCUGUCUCAGCGUCCACACACCUCCCGACCCAGGCGAUGUCGAGGCGCUUUGUGCCGCCGUCCCGGAGGAGCGGGUGCGCGCGCUAUGCCGCGACAGCAUGGGGGAUGCCGGCGCCAUUGCAAGCUGCCUUUACACGGAGUUGGCACAGCAGGCAACACUGCGGGCGCUCAUCCUGCCCGCAAUGCGUCUGCGCAGCGUGAAGCUGCUGCGGCUGCCGCCCUACCGGCAGCAGCUCCUACUGGAGGCGACCACCUGGACGCUGCAGAGGUGCUGCGACUGCCGCGAUCGUGACCUGACCGAGAACUCGCAUGUGCAAUGGUGCAAGGUUCUACACAGUGCGGCGCCUGAAACAGAGUCGUGUGCGUAUCUGAAGCGGAAGGCAUACGCCACCGGCUACUCUCAGCUGCUGCAAGGACUCAGCGCAGUCUCCAGCGUCCGACAGGGGUAUCUUGUCGCUGUACUCACCGUCUGCGGCAAUUUCUUCGACCUCCUGGACGCGGGAAAGCUGCCACUCCAACGGCGAACCAGCCCAUUUCUCUUCCGCGGCGCGCAUGCAGCACCAAACGGGGACCAAACCUCGCUGAGUCCGGCGGUGUGCAGCUGAACAAAGGAGGGACGAUGCGGCACAGACGUUGUGUGCCCGAUCAUGCGGUGCACCGCCAACUGCCACGGUCGACGGCAACGCCGAGAGCCAAAAACAAAAACGAGAAGAGAGCCCCCCCCCUCCACACACAUGCACAC
rnacentral:misc_RNA from 1 species